CCUACGGGCGGCAGCAGUGAGGAAUAUUGGUCAAUGGGCGCGAGCCUGAACCAGCCAAGUAGCGUGAAGGAUGACUGCCCUACGGGUUGUAAACCUCUUUUGUAAAGGAAUAAAGUGAGGCACGUGUGCCUUUUUGUGUGUACUUUAUGAAUAAGGAUCGGCUAACUCCGUGCCAGCAGCCGCGGUAAUACGGAGGAUCCGAGCGUUAUCCGGAUUUAUUGGGUUUAAAGGGAGCGUAGACGGGUUGUUAAGUCAGCUGUGAAAGUUUGGGGCUCAACCCUAAAAUUGCCAUUGAAACUGGCAGUCUUGAGUACAGUUGAGGUAGGCGGAAUGCGUGGUGUAGCGGUGAAAUGCUUAGAUAUCACGAAGAACUCCGAUUGCGAAGGCAGCUUACUAAACUGCCACUGACGUUGAGGCACGAAAGUGUGGGUAUCAAACAGGAUUAGAUACCCUGGUAGUC
rnacentral:rRNA from 1 species